GAGAAGGUGUUUGGCCCUCAUUCGAAUAUAUCAGUGUAUGCAACUGCCCUAAUUUCAAGAAAAUCAAUUUAGAUUCCAAGUCGAAACAUACACUGAAGGGGAUUAAAGGUGAGAAGGAUUGGUGGGAUUCAUUAGAGUGGAAAGAACCUUCUCUAAGCAUACUUUUCAACGACUUGUUUACUCCAGUUUCUGAGGAUGAUAUAUGAGGAGAUAGUAUCAAUUGAUGCUAUUUUCAUCGCUUGAGUCAUUGAUGUGUAAGAAUCAAGAAUUUUUACCUGCAGAAAAUAAAUCAAGGCUGAAGAGGUAUUGUCUAUUUUUCCUUUUUCUUUUCCAGGAUUAUGAAGCAUUUAUAUUUAUUUGAAAUUCAAGCAUGCUUAUAUAGUAGCUGAAUAUCACUUAGCAGUGAGUACCUCGUUAUUUCUUCUUCAAUUUUCCUAUAGUAUCCUUGUCCGGCACAUUUUUGCAAAAAUUGAGUUCCUCUUAACAUCGAAAAAUAGGAAAAAGGUAAUUAUUUGGUCAAUUCUUUGGUAAAAGUAACAUGAAAGCUCCUGUAUUAGGGGGUGGAUUGCAUUUUGCCCCUCUGUUAAAAAACUGGCAAAUUAGUCUUUGUAUAUUAGAUCAAAGAGCAAACUGGUCUUUCUAUUAAAAGUUUCAUCUAUUUUCUAUUAAAAAUUGGUCAUUGUAUGUCAGCAUGAGGUACACGUGGCACGCCAUGUCAUUGCCUGAUUAUUAUGUCAACCACAUUAGAUUUUAACAAUACAAAUUGAUGAAAUUUUUAACCGAAAUGACCAACUUGCUUUUUAGUCUAAUUUAUAAGGAUUAAUUUGGCCUUUUUUUAGUAGAUGGGUAAAAUGCAAUCCGAUGUCUAGUAUAGGGGUCUUCAUGGUACUUUUAUUCAAUUAUUUUCAUCUAAAUUGUGGUUGGUUGAAUGUUUUAUGGUUUAGCAUGCCUUAUUUGCUACUUUGUUUUAUUUUUCCAUGCAUAACUUUCCAAUCAAGAUUAUUAAUAAUUCACUUUUUUUAGUCACUCCUUGGGGAGCUUUGAAAUUCCUUGCCUGCAAAGAGUUUCCGGCAGCAAAUCAGCUCCUCACACUGGCAAACAAAGAGAAAGGCAGAAAUGGCUGUCCAUUGACAACCAGUGCUAUUGGUAUAGCGAAUGCAAACAAUUAGAGAUAGCCUUUUCUGGAACAAUUUCCGGAAAACGGAACUACCAUUGUAGAUAAAAGUACUGCUUCCUUCCCAAUUCCCUCAUGGAUUCCCCGUAAUGUGUUAGAGGAAGCAUGGCAGCAUCACUAACAACACUUGCAUCCGUCAACAGUCGAUUUAUCGGAAUUCCGGAAAGGUAUCGGUCAAGAACUUGUACCUUUUGUUCCCCUUACAAUCUAGACAUGUUGAAGCCCUGAAUUUAGGGUUUAAAGACCUUGUUAUAUCAGGAACUUUCUCUGAUUAUUUUGCCUUCCAUGUGUAUAAUUUGUUGUCAAUUUAAAUUAACUUAAUUCAAGGAACAUGGAUCACUUCUUUUAAACAAAUUAAACAGUUAUUCUUCUAAGCAAAUAUUCUCAUACUUUGGGUCUAAAACACCUUUAAUUCUUUAAAAUGGGAUUGUUUACUGUUUAAAAAAAUGAUUUUAGUGUUGAAUAAAAUGUAAAUAGAAAAAUAUUACACACUUAAAUACAAUCAAAUUUGACCACUAAGUUGAGGCAAUAAUGGUGCUAAAUCAAUGUACUGUGAAGCUCGAAUCUCAUCAAUUUAUAAAAAUAAAAUUUUAAGAUUUUUUUUAAGUAUUUUUUUAAACAGAAUUUGAUAACCAUAUUACAUUUAAGACUUAUUUAAUUUCUCUAGUCUCUAUAAUACAGAGAUCACUAAAGUAUUUUAACCAUUCUUUGUAAGUAUUGGAUGUGCAUUACUGUUAGAUUCUAGUGGAUGGUUACUAGUGACUAAAUAUACAUGUAAUUUCUAAUAUUAUUAAUGAGCAUGCAAAAAGUGAGUGACUAAUAGAAUUUUUAAUAUUAUUCUCAUAAAAAAAUAAGAAAGAAUUUUUAAUAUUAUUAAUGAGCAUGUAGAAAGUUAAAAUAUUUUCAAAUUUGUCCAGGCAUAUUAGACCGGGCGACUAGGACAACCUUUUGGAGAGGUCAAUGCCCAAGUAUCAAAUAGAUUUAUCUUUGUUGGAUAAAAUACCCAAAUUAUAUAAUGUAGUAUAAAUGAUUUAUUCUCAAUUUCUCAGAUUGUUUCCAAUGGUGACCCUGAGAUUUGGCAAAGCAAAUAAGGAGAAACCCUCAAAAACCACACAGAGAAAGCUGUGGACUUUGAUAAGUGUGUAGUAGAUGGGUGUGUAAACAUUGCCCCAAGGUGUUUACAGGGACAAGCAAGAGUGGAACCACACACUUGAAUAACCACUUGAAAGUAUGUCCUGGUAAGAAGAAACAAAAUCAAGAAAGCCAGUUGAUACCAAUGAAAGAAGCUCAAUGUUUGAUCAAGAAAGAAGUUGCAUGAAUUUUGCAAAAAUGGUUAUUAAGCAUCGAUAUCCAUUGGAAAUGGCUGAUCAAGUUUCUUCAAGAAUUUUGUGAAAGAUAUGCAACCCAUGUUUAAGUUUCAAUCGAAAGUCUUAUAUAUGUAUAUGUAUACGCAUGUCAUCUGAACAAAUAAGGCAAUACAGUUCCUUCUUCUCUAAGGUCUUUCCUUUUUUUGUUCUCAGUGCCUCUCAAAGAAUCAGAGAGCUGCUUUAUGUUGGGAAGAAACCGAACAACCGAAACAAAGCGAAAGCACAACCGGUGUUCUUUCUCUCCUUAUAACUCCUGUCAAAAAUUAUGGCAAGCACAAUAGCACAAGAUAUGUUCUCUAGCAACCUUAAUCAACCACAAAUCAACUAAUGCAACCACAACAAAAAAUAAAUAGAGACACCGAUAUUUUUACGUGGAAAACCCCUCUAAAUUAAGGGUAAAAACCACGGGACUUUAGAGUCCGAUAAAGAGCUCCACUAUCAUCAAAUGUUCAACUACAAGAUCACAAUAUCAAGCCUACAACAAGCAUUCAACUCCGACAAGGCUAACAACAUGUAAUCUAUAGCAAAAGAGAGAAAAAUGAGAGAACAUCACCAAAAAACGUAGCUGCUGAAAAAUGGGUAUUUCCGACGCUACAAGACUCGGAUGAAAAAUCCGACCGUACAAAGUCAAGAACACCUUAUCACCUAGCUGCUGUCCAAAAAUCAGCUCAAUCGAACCACGGAUGGACCUUCGAUCGAAGAGUUGAUCACUGCUGCACCAAGCUUGAAAAACUGAUUUUUCUAUUCNNNNNNNNNNNNNNNNNNNNNNNNNNNNNNNNNNNNNNNNNNNNNNNNNNNNNNNNNNNNNNNNNNNNNNNNNNNNNNNNNNNNNNNNNNNNNNNNNNNNNNNNNNNNNNNNNNNNNNNNNNNNNNNNNNNNNNNNNNNNNNNNNNNNNNNNNNNNNNNNNNNNNNNNNNNNNNNNNNNNNNNNNNNNNNNNNNNNNNNNNNNNNNNNNNNNNNNNNNNNNNNNNNNNNNNNNNNNNNNNNNNNNNNNNNNNNNNNNNNNNNNNNNNNNNNNNNNNNNNNNNNNNNNNNNNNNNNNNNNNNNNNNNNNNNNNNNNNNNNNNNNNNNNNNNNNNNNNNNNNNNNNNNNNNNNNNNNNNNNNNNNNNNNNNNNNNNNNNNNNNNNNNNNNNNNNNNNNNNNNNNNNNNNNNNNNNNNNNNNNNNNNNNNNNNNNNNNNNNNNNNNNNNNNNNNNNNNNNNNNNNNNNNNNNNNNNNNNNNNNNNNNNNNNNNNNNNNNNNNNGAUCUAGCAUGAAAAGUUGAGUUCUUACCAAGAUGAAUAGCACUCUGGCUAUCACAGUACAUGACAUACUUCUCCUGAGUAAAACCAAGCUCAUGCACAAACUUCUUCAUCCAAGCAUCUCCUUACAUGCUUCGGUUGCUGCAAUGAACUCUGAUUCGGUGGUGGACAAUGCAACACACUUUUGCAGUCUCGAUUGCCAUGCCACAGCUCCCCCUGCAUAAGUGAUUAAGUAACCUGAAGUAGAUCUCCUCGAGUCAAUGUCUCCGGCCAUGUCUGAAUCUGUAUACCCAACAAGAACAGGUUUCUCAUUGCCGAAACAAAGUUUCAUGUUGGAGUGCCACGAAGAUAUCUCAUAAUCCACUUCACUGCAUUCCAUGCUCUCUGCCUGGAUUAGAAAGAAACCGACUAACUGUACCAACGGCAUAAGCCAAGUCUGUCUCGUGCAAACCAUUGCGUACAUCAAAACUACCCACGGCUGAAGAGUAAGGAAUUUCUGCAUCUCUUCCUUCUCCUUUUCUGUGGAAGGACUAUGCUUAACACUCAUCUAAAGUGCAUAGCAAAGGGAGUAUUCACCGCUUUAGCUUUGUCAUACUAAACCUUUGAAGUACUUUCUCAAUGUACCUCUCUUGUGAUAACCAUAAUUUCUUGGCCUUUCUAUCACGUGUCAGUCUUAUGCCAAGAAUUUGCUUUGCUGGCCCCAAAUCCUUCAUUGCAAAGGAUUUACUCAACUCUUGUUUCAACUUCUCAAUUCUAGAAGCAUUCUGACCAACAAUAAGCAUAUCAUCAACAUAGAGCAAAAGAAUAAUAAAAUCAUCACCAGAGAAUCUCUUAACAAACACACAAUGAUCAGAAGUAGUCUUCUUGUAGCCUUGCUCCCCCAUAACAGACUCAAACUUCUUGUACCAUUGCCUUGGAGCUUGCUUCAAACCAUACAAGCUCUUCUUCAAUCUGCACACAUAGUCCUCUUUCCCUUGUGCAACAAAACCCUCUGGCUGCUCCAUGUAAAGCUCUUCUUCCAAGUCACCACGAAGAAAGCAGUUUUCACAUCCAUUUGUUCAACCUCUAGGUCAUAACAAGCUACCAAACUCAGUAUAGUUCUGAUAGAGGACAUCUUUACAACCGGAGAAAAUAUUUCUUCAAAAUCAACCCCUUUUUUCUGAGUAUAACCCUUGACGACCAAUCUAGCUUUGUAUCGUGGAGAUGAAGACUUCUCUUCUUGCUUCAACCUGUAACCCACCGAUUAUUCAAAGCUCUUUUGCCCUUAGGCAGUUUCACCAAUUCAAAAGUAUGGUUCUCAUGCAAGGAUUGAAGUUCGUCUUUUCAAUCGCUUCAAACCCACUGAUCUUUGCAUUCACUCUCCAUAGCCUCUUCAUAACAUUCAGGUUCUCCCCGUCAGUCAAAAGAACAUAUUCAUCAGGAGGAAUACCUGACAGAAGAUCGUCGAUCUCUGGAAGACCUUCGAAGUGGAACUGCUGGUGGAGCUAUAGGUGCUUGUUGUUGAUCAUUCACAACAUCAUCCAUGGGAGUAUCAAAGUCACCUAUAGUCUGAUGGUUACCACUAACAUCACCAUGCACAUCAUCCUGGAUAGGAUCUGGUGAAGAGUCUAGGGGAACCGGAUUCACAUCGAUCAAGUCACCACUACCUUGUGAAUCCACUUUCUCCGUCUUAUCAAUGUCAUCAAUGGUCUGAUCCUCAAUGAAGACAACAUCUCUGCUUCUCACGAGUUUCUUCUGAACUGGAUCAUAGAGUCUAUAACCAAACUCACCAUCUAGACCAUAACCAAUAAAAAUGCAUUGUCGAGCCUUGGCAUCCAACUUGGAUCUUUCAUCCUUUGGAACAUGAACAAAUGCUUUACAACCGAACACACGUAGGUGAUCAUAUGACACGUCUUUACCAAACCAAACUCUAUCUGGCACAUCACCUUUCAAAGGAACACUAGGAGACAGAUUUAUCACAUGUGUCACUGUAUUCAAAGCUUCAGCCCAAAAUGAUCUUGGUAACUUUGCAUCUGACAACAAACAUCUGACUCUCUCAAUCAAUGUUCGGUUCAUUCUUUCAGCUAACCCAUUUAACUGUGGAGUCUUUGGUGGUGUUCUCUGAUGUCUGAUGUCUGAUUCCCUGUCGCAGACAAUACUCAUGAAACGACCCUGUGUACUCGCCACCAUUAUCAGUACGAAUGCACUUCAACUUUUUCCCAGUUUCCCUUUCAACUGAUGCUUGAAACUGUUUAAACACCUCAAAGACUUGAUUUUUAGACUUCAAAGUGUAAACCCAUAGCUUUCUUGAACAAUCAUCAAUGAAAGUCACAAAGUAAAGUGCACCACCAUGUGAUCUUACUUUUAUCGGACCACAAACAUCUGAAUGGACCAACUCUAGCAACUCUGAUUUCCUAUGAGGAGGAUGGCUUCUAAAUGAAACUCUUUUCUGCUUUCCUGCUAGACAAUGAGCACAAUUCUUCAGUGUAGCAUUCUUUAAACCCGAAAGUUGAUUCUUCUUCGCUAAACAGCUAAGCCCCUUCUCACUCAUGUGACUGAGUCGUUUAUGCCACAACUCAAUUGAGCUGUCAUUCAGUGUCACAUUCACCAUCUCUCGAGAAGUCAAAGCUUGCAUCAAGUACAAAUUUGAGCUCUUCUUUCCUCGAGCCACAACUAAGGAGCCUUUAGUCAGCUUCCACUGCCCUUCACUGAAGGUGUUACAAAAUCCCUCAUCAUCAAGUUUUCCUGCAGAAAUCAAAUUCAAACGGACAUCCGGUGCAUGUCUGACAUCCUUGAGAGUUAACUUUGUUCCAUUGUUACUUACCAAGCUAACAUCUCCCAUACCAAUAACCGAAACCAAACCAUCAUUACCCAUCUUCAAUACCCCAAAAUCACCAGGAGUAUAAGAUGUGAAGAAUUCCUUCCUCGACGUGACAUGAAGUGAUGCACCAGUAUCAAUCACCCAACUAGUCUCGUCGCAUGCUAGGUUGACCAAAUUCUCAUCACAAAUAACUAACAAAUCUUCACGAGUAACAGUAGCAACACGCUCGGAUUUUUCAUCGUCAUUCCGGUCGUGUUUAUCACCACCACCUUUGUUCUCUUUCUUCCACUUGAAGCAAUAUUUCUUGAUAUGACCUUUCUUACCACAAUGAUGACACUCAAGAUUCUUGUAUCUCGAUCUUGACUUGCUUCGGCUUUUAUCUCUACCCUUUCCAUCUUUGUCUCUGUUUCUCCCCCUGUUCUCGAUAACCAACACCUCGGACUGUGAUGUAGAACCCUGAGAUCUUCUUCUAACCUCUUCAUUCAACACACCACUCUUAGCCAAAUCCAAAGUAAUAAUACCCUGUGGGGCAGAAUUAAUGAGUGAGACUCGAAAGGUCUCCAAGAGUCUGGUAGAGUAGCAAGCAACCAAAGUCCUAAAAUCUCGUCAUCAAAUUUGACACCCAUACCAAGCAACUGAUUCAUCAUACUCUGAAAUUCACUAACAUGGUCAGCUAUAGACAUUCCUUCUUUAUAUUUCAGCGCCAUCAUUUUCUUCAGCAAAAUAACUUGUUAUUGCCCGACCUCGAAGCAUACAAGCUUUCAAGCUUCUCCCACAAUGUUCGAGCAUGUGUCUCCUGAUCAAUGUGAUUGUAAACAUUUUCUUCAACAAAUUGCCGAAUAAAGCCACACACUUGUUGAUGCUCAAAUUCCCAUUCUUCAUCACUUUUCGAAUCGGGUUUUUGAGUAGUAAAGACCGGAAGAUGCAAAGCCUUCACAAACAACAAGUCCUUCAUUUUAUUCCGCCAAAGUUGAUAAUUUGUGCCAUUCAACAUAAUCAUCUUGCUCGUAUUAAUUUCCAUAAUUAUCUGACACAAUAACCUAGAUCUGGUACCAGUUUGUUGGGAAGAAACCGAACAACCGAAAUAAAGCGAAAGCACAACCGGUGUUCUUUCUCUCCUUAUAACUCCUGUCAAAAAUUAUGGCAAGCACAAUAGCACAAGAUAUGUUCUCUAGCAACCUUAAUCAACCACAAAUCAACUAAUGCAACCACAACAAAAAAUAAAUAGAGACACCGAUAUUUUUACGUGGAAAACCCCUCUAAAUUAAGGGUAAAAACCACGGGAUUUUAGAGUCCGAUAAAGAGCUCCACUAUCAUCAAAUGUUCAACUACAAGAUCACAAUAUCAAGCCUACAACAAGCAUUCAACUCCGACAAGGCUAACAACAUGUAAUCUUUAGCAAAAGAGAGAAAAAUGAGAGAACAUCACCAAAAAACGUAGCUGCUGAAAAAUGGGUAUUUCCGACGCUACAAGACUCGGAUGAAAAAUCCGACCGUACAAAGUCAAGAACACCUUAUCACCUAGCUGCUGUCCAAAAAUCAGCUCAAUCGAACCACGGAUGGACCUUCGAUCGAAGAGUUGAUCACUGCUGCACCAAGCUUGAAAAACUGAUUUUUCUAUUCUCUUUCUCUCUAUUUUUUUUUUUUAGCUCUCUGCAGAAAUUUCUGCCCACUCCCACGUUAAUAAGCCAAAAAAUUGGCUUUUGACAAAACCAAAAGAAAAGGAAGGCAAAACAUUGUGGCAGAAAAUAUGGGUUUCCCACAUAGUGGGACCCAUACCCAACACUUUAGCUGAAAUAACCGAUGUUUUACGAGCUGUAUGUCAUGCGCAUAGCUUGCCUUUGGCUCUAACAUGGAUUCCUUGUAAUUACACCGUGGAAGCUGAGGAUGAAUAUACAAAAAUGUGUGUUAGAGAGGGUACUAAGAGUUGGGAUGGGAAGUGUGUUUUAUGCAUCGAAGAUACAGCUAGCCUUUUACGUUAAUGAAAAAGAGAUGCAAGAUUUUGUGCAUGCAUGUGUGGAACAUUAUCUCGAAGGAGGAUAGGGUAUAGCCGGAAAAGCACUUCAAUCCAAUCAUCCGUUCUUCUCUGCAGAUGUAAAGACAUAUGACGUAAGUGAUUAUCCACUCGUCCACCAUGCACGUAAGUUUAACCUGAAUGCUGCAGUUGCAAUCCGGCUGAGGAGCACCUACACCGGUGAUGAUGAUUAUAUACUCGAGCUUUUUCUACCUAUUAACAUGAAAGGAAGUUUGGAACAACAACUCUUGUUGAAUAACCUCUCGGGCACCAUGCAACGAAUCUGUAGGACUUUGAGAACUGUUUCACAUGCAGAAAUUGUCGGAGAACGGUCAACAAUGGAGUUUCAGAGGGUAACGGUCCCGCCCUUCUCCUCAAUGUCUCUGUGUCAGAGGAGCUCAGAAACAGCAUUAUCUGCUGAUAGUGACAUGAAUUCCAAUAAUGCCAUUCCUUUUAAUGAAUCUAAUUCAAUAAGUGAUGGUCCUCUUGAUACAUUCUUCUACUUCGUAUUUUUCGGGAUAAAAAUAAAUUCUGGAGAAAUUAACGAAUACUUUAAAACAUGCAUUAAUAUCACUCUAUUUUAAAAUUUUAUUUGUCCCCACCUAUAUUAUAGUCUACAAAAGAAUGAUUGACAAAUGAAAUUAGAGGAUACAAUGAAGUCCAAUAACUGUCUAUAUCUUGUAGUGAUGGAAAUAAUUUGCUAAGUAUUCAGUAGAGCAUAACAAAGAUAUCAAUUUUUAUAAAAAAUUGUGUAGUAAUUCUUUAUAUAGAAUAAUCUAGGAAUAUAAAAGAUUGUGUGAGAAUAAAGUUUUUGGGUAUAUCGUACAAAUGAAAUUCCUCUUUUAUAAAUAAAAGAUCUCAUGUCUCUUUAAAUGAACAUAACUACCCAAAUGUAUAGUCAUAUAUUUAGCCAUAAACAUAAUUAUUUAAUAGAUAUCUACUUGAAUAAUUAUAACAAUUUGUUAUUAAUUAAGUGAUAUAACUUUUGAUGACAAGAGACAUAAUUGAUCAUUAUAAAUAGUGACAACUCUUACUUAAUAACCAAGUGACACUGUUUUUGGAUCUUGUAUUUUUUCGUAUGUAACUAUUAAAACACUAUAUAUAUUUUAAAAAUAUUUAUCAACAAAAAUCUCGAAUUUUUGGUCUACUAAUUAUAAUCUCAAAUCUGUGCCUUAAUUUUUCUCUCUUUGAAGAUUAAUAAUUUAUUCUCUUUGAUGAUUAAGAAUGAAAGAUAAUUAGAAAGAAGGAUUAGCCAUUUUCAUAUUAAAAAAUUAUCCAAAAGUAAUCAUUUUUAUUUAAUUGAUUGCUCAUGCAUUCUUUUUUUGAUAUAUACCAUAGAAGAUUCCUCUCUCUGUAAAAAAUAGACAAGUUUGACUCUUUCAAAAUCCAUGGAAGAUUUUAAAAUUGAAUCAUCAUCAUCUUCCAUCGAAUUUUAAAAUGGCAACAGUCACCCUGAUGAUUGACAGACACACCAUUGCAGACCAUGCCAUUUAUUCUUUUGGAAUUUAUAUUUUUAAAAGAUUGUAUGUAAAUAAUAAAUUAUUUAAGAUAAUAUAAUGAAUGUACAAUUAGUUUGAAGCUCCCUCAAAAUUAGGUAAGGGAUGAUGUCCAUCAACUCAUAAAUAUUUCUUUCUCAAUAUAUAAUUAAAAGAAUAAUGUGCGAACUUAUAUCUUUUUACAUUAAUAACAAUAUUUAUAUCGAUUAACUGAAAUUUAAUCUUAUUAUAUAUUAUACCAUUUAUGUCAAUAUUUAAUGAGCUGUUUUCUUACCUAUUCCACCAAUACCUCCGUGGCAUACAUUUGUAUAUCAGUUUUCAGCAGGAAAGAGAAGUGUUUUCAGCAAAGUGACAACGCAGGCCUACUAAAGAAAUGCAAAUAAGGUGACUUUGGGGAAAUUUCAAUGUCUUAAUUUCUGACUUUCGAUGCAGUCUUUAUACAUUCUAUAUUAAAGAAAUGUUUCGACUUUGAAUGUUGGAAAUUUCAAAAUGACAAAUUCAACGAAAUUCAUUUCUCAUUUAUGUACCACAAACUUCAUUUACACAUAAUAAUAAUAAUAAUAAUAAUAAUAAUAAUAAUAAUAAUAAUAAUAUAAUCCGUGUUGGGUGAUAAUUAAAAUAUCAAUUUAUCUAAAUUUUUAAUGAAAAUGCAAAUAAACAAAAAAAAAACCCUCAUAAAAAUAUAAUUGAAGAAUCAAUGUGGGAGGAACUAAACGCUAAUAGAUUUGAUUAUGAGUGUAAUUGAGCUAACCUGAGCUCUAAUAGUUGUAAGCUCAAGUUUGAUUCAAAACUUGAAGCUUAAUGUUCAGGUCGAGUUUGAUUGAGCAUUGAUUUUUAAGCUCGAGAUUGAUUCGAGAUAUAAUUGAGUAACUCAAGUUCAAGUUUAAUUAAGCAUAUUUUGGCAUAAAAUUUUUAUUUUUGGAUUUCAAACGUUAUUUUCAGUCAACACAUUCCCAACAAUAUAAGAUUUUGGGUUAUAAAGAAUAAUCUCAAUAACACAUAUUCCUUACAUAAACGAAAAUAUAAUAAUAAUAACUAAUGCAUCAACUUCUAUAAUUCUUUGAAUUAUUCUUCAUGUAACAUUUCAACUAUAUAUAUUUGUUGAUUGUCAUCUACCCUCUAGUUCCUUGACCUAAGAUAAUCUGAAAGCUUCACAUGCCAUUAAAGGUUAAGGCUUAAUUAUGGCUAACUUUGCACAAAGGGAUCCCUUCUAAAUGUUUUCUUAGGAGCAGAGGAGUCAUUGCCGAUAAGGAUCGUGUGUUUUGUUCUUGGUGCUGUAUUGACAUGGAGGAAAAUUAUGACCAUAUUCUUCUCGUAUGCAAUAUUUCUUAGUCCACAUGGGGUAUGUUGAAAACUAUAGAAUGAUUGAGAAGUAUUUGAGGAAGUGCCCAUUUCCCUAUCAAUUACGACACGUUGGUUUGUUUUCAUAUUUAGGUGAUUGAUAAUUUAUUAAACCAGAUUUUUAGAUUGUGACCAUAUUAUAGAUUGUACUUAACCCAUCAAUGAAGAUCAUAUCACUUGGAGAUUCACUUUUGAAGAAUCAAACCUAAUCACAUAUAUCUAAUCCCUUGUAUCAAGAAAGUUAGAUUGGAUCGAAACAUUGAAGAUCUAGCUGCCGGCGGUCCUUGUUUACCUUAUUUGUUAUAUUAUUAUAUUAUAUUUAGCUUAUUUAGUUAUUGAAUAGGAAUUGGUGAUAGAUCUUUUGUAAUAUCCCAUAUCUGAUCCGACCAUCAAGUCCGAACUAUAAGACGCAACACGAGAACUAUGAUCAACUAUAUUCAAAUUCCUUCAUUAGAAAUUUAAAUACAAGUGUUGCAUGCAUAAAACAUGAUAUAUAAACAUUUUCAAGGAUUAUAUGAGCUUCCGAAAGCUCAAUACCAUCCUGGGAUCGAAUGAAGACUAAACUACAAGGUUUUCAAAACUUCUAGGGCUAGUGUUGCAAGUUCCAAGGUUCAAUGUCACGACUUUGAAGACAUCAAGUAAGUUUUCCAACCUAAGGAUCAAAUUAUAAAAAUUUUAAAAUAAAACAAAGCCAACGUUGCGACGAGGCCAGGGUACGUCACGACGAAAUAACCUGGUGUCACGAUAUUCCGAACAGUCGACUAUGUUCAAAUUCCAUACAUUUCCAAACUAACCUAAGAUUACAAUGGUUGACUAUACGGUCCCAAAAUGACCACUCCCACAUAUAAAAUAAGGUUUAAAUCAUGUAUAACAUGCAAACAUACUAUAUUGGUAUUCAUCAUGAUAUAUUGCUUAGCUAUUUCACGUUGCUACCUUAAACUUACCAACUUAUGUAUAUUUACAUCAUUACCCCAAGUAGCAUUAAGCACAACCGAAACCAUGCAUUAAGUAGUUCACUUAUCAAGCUUAACAAACAAAUUCAACCACUAUCUCAAUUGCCACAUAAUAAAUCAUUCAAAAUGACCAUUUGUAGAAUUAAAUGUACUUAUAUAUAUAUGUCACUAUAUCUAGACUCAAAAUGAACAUAAUUUUAUUGUCUUGUUGAUAGUGUGUGCUUCACGUUGGUCUAACUCAACAAGUUUUGCAAGGUGAUAACCCUAUACAUACAAAUAAGGAAACAAUUAGAAUAAACAUACAAAUGCUUGACAAAUUCAAAUGAAAAAAAAAACCUAUGCUUAGAUCACCUUUGAGCAUAUUAAUUACCAACACUUUUGACAUACAUUUGGCUAUCCUUGAAAUAUCAUGUCAUAGCUAACACAUGCCUAGACACCCAAAUAGAUUAGACACUUUAACAUAUCAAGAAUAACACAUCAUUUCAUGCCAAAGCACUUACAUACCAUUUAUCAAGUUACAAAAGUAUACCAUUCCAAAUUGAAUCCCAAUUCAUGCUAACAUGUGAAUGCCACAUUUUACACUACUCAUUUCAAUAAAUUUAUAAAUUUCUAAUUUCAAUUUGUGCAAUGGAAUUCUAGUAAACUGAUUCGGAUAUACAAGUGAACUACAUAAGAUUAGGUUGCUCAUUCGAGUUAAAAUUUCACAAGAUUACGCAUCCGAGCUAAAAGUAUAGAAGAUUAUUUAUCCGAGCUGAAAUUACACUAAAUCAAGUUACUCAUCUAAGCUAAAUCUAUACCAAAUUCUUCGUAGAGACACAUAUCCUACAAACAUGCAUAUAGCUCUAUUAACAUUUUAAUCGUGUCCAAACCUUUUAAUUGUAUCUUAACCUCUUACUAAUUAAUUUCACAUAAACAUCUAAUAUACUUAUUUUCAUUAUCAUCUCUAUAAUCAAUCAUGCUUGAUGGUACGCUUUACAUAUCACUUCCUGUACCCCUCUUUAAAGAAAAGAAAGAAAAGUCAAAGUAGAAACAGUGAGUAUUCAGCGUGAGUGAGGUUUCUAUCAAUGACGCGCUUUAAAUAAAAUACAUAGUUUCAACCAUAUUUCUAUUCAGCUUUACCCAAACUGUGUUGAACCUCAGCUUGUUCCAUGGCUUCUUCUUUUCCUCACACCGCCUUGAGAUUGUUACUAUCCAGCGCUAAAGCUAUUGAAGAUGGGGAUCUGAAAAGCGCCGAUGCGUUCCUUCACGAUAUCUUGAUUCUUGCUGAUCAGAGACCCUACUGGUUUCGAGAUCAAAGCAGAGUGGUGAAAUACUUUGCGGACGCACUGGUUCGCCGAGCCUACGGACUGCAUCCUGCUUCUUCCCCCUUCACUUUCCCGGUGGAUCCUGCACCAUAUUAUCAUCAUAACAGCUACCAUAUUAAUGGCGUCAUAGAAAAAGUUAUCGAUGAUGCUUCAAUGGAAAAGAAUACUUUGAUGGGAAAUAGGCGAUUGCACCUUAUUGAUUUCACCAUUCGUUACAGUUUGGGGAAUUCAGUUCUUCGUACACUACCGAGCUUCUCCGGCAGUCCUCCAUCCGUCCGUGUAAGUUACAUACUUCCACCAUUUCUGAAAAAAACAUGUAGAUGUCUCACGGCGCCAAAUGAAGUUUUUGACUAGGGAUGCCAAGGAAGUUAAUGUAAAGUUGGAGGAUGAGAUGACAGUGGUUUACGCCAAUAGUUUGGCAGAAGUGGAUGGAUGUGAAUUAGAUUUAAAAAGUAGAGAAGAUGAAAUGGUGGUGGUUUACUAUAAAUUUAAACUUCAUAAGUUGGUAGCAGAUGCAAAAGCAAUGAAGAGAGAGUUGGUAAGAUUGAGGCAGAUAAAUCCGACGAUUGUGAUCGUGCUAGACUUCUAUUCUAAUCAUACCCACUCCAAUUUCUUGACAUGUUUGGAGGACUCUUUUCAGUAUUCCUCCAAUACUUGCAUAAACUGGUGUGGGUCGGCCAUUUUUUCGGAUGAUGAGUAUUUGUGGGAGAGCAACAUAGACGCAUGGGAAGGUAAUAAUGUAAUUAGGCGGCACCAAACUUUGAGUGAAUGGCAACGUCUCUUUUCAGUGGCUGGUUUUACCCGAAUUCCAUUAAUCCACAGGAAAAGCGUUGAGGAUGAAAGUUUCUUAGAAAUAAUGAGGGAGGAAGAAGAGUGUUUGAUUUUAGGGGACAAGGGAUGUCCAAUGUUUUUCUUAUCGGCAUGGAAACCCAAAGUUGAAGAUCCACACUUCAAUUCCAGUUCCACCAACGAUAUGUUUGAACAAGGUACUUUUCUUUUUCUUUUCUCAAAUUAAUUAAUAAUAAUUUAUAUAUUAUCAUUAGUUUAAUAAUAUAUUCAAUAUUAUAAUUUAUUUUAAGUUUAAAAAUAUAAUUUCAGGACAUUAUUAGUUAAACAGAAACAGACCAAAUAAAUCAUAUAUUAAAUAUAAGUUCAGUUAAACAGAAACUGACCAAAUUAAUUAAUAUUAAAUCAUCUUCAAUCGUCUUUUCUUUAACUUAUUUUUAUUUAUUGGAUAAAAGGUAUUUUUGUUUAUCAUUAGAUUGACUAAUUGUAAUGGAAUUUCUUUGUAGGUUUCAAUCCAUAUCCAUCACCUCUUCACCCUCUUCAACCAUUUCCCGAGGUAUUAACUUUCAUUUAUUUUUUUAUUUUCAUCCAAAAUACGAGAUUUUGUAUCUCGCUACGUAGGGAUUAAAAUAAUUAAUUAUAAAAAAAAUAUUUUAAUUAUAUUAAAUUAUUAGUAAGCGACAACUAAAAUUAGAAGUUAACUUAAAUAAUUGAAAGACAUUUUGUAAAACAUGAAUUCAUGAACUUGCAAAAAUUUAUAUAAAAUAAUUAUCGAAAAGUUUUAUUUUAUUAUUUUAUUAUUAUGAAAUUACAUUUAUGAUAAUUAUUAAGAUAUCGGGUACCAAUUAAUUUAAAUUAAUUCAAUCUUUUAUAUGCAUCAUUUAAAACUAAAAAUAAAAUUAAAACUAAAAUACUCAUUUCCAAAUAAAUCAGUGUACAUAUCGAUUAGUUUGUUUAAGUAUAUCAUUUAAACUAAAAAUAAAAAUAGUUAAUAAAUUUAAUUUAAGGUUAAUUAAUUAAAAUUGUUUGAACAAUCUUAUUAUAGACUGUAAUCAUAUCUGCUCUUUAUAAUAUUAUAUCUAAAAUUACCAUAAUCUCUCCCCAACACAUAAAAAAUAGGAUAAUGCGCUUUAAUACACUCAAUCAACAAUAUUAAUUAAUUAACAUCACGAUUAACAUGAAAAUUAAUUAAAAUGUAGCAUAAAUAAAAAAUUAAUAUAUAAGCAUAUUAAAAUAUACAUAAAAGAUAUCGAAACAUAAUUUUUCGCUAAUUUCUUUUCCCCUCUUUCAUUUUCAUUUUUCCUUGGGGUCAAUAAACUUUUGAUCCUCGAACUUGAUAUUUUUUUCCCACCAUCGCCCCUAAUUGUUUUUGGUCCUUUUAUUUUUGGAACUUGGUAGCUUUUCCUAAUUUGAUCCUUGAACUUUAAUUCUUUUAAGGAAUUAUGAUGUCACAUUUUGAGAUUAUUUUGCAUCAUCACCUAAAUUUUUUUAAGAACUUAUAAUUUUUGUAUGUAUUUAAUAUAUUUUUUGUAUUUUUAUAUUAUAUAUUUUUAAAUUUAGAUGAUGAUGUGGCACAAUCUCAAAGUCAUUUCACCACACCUUAAUGGAAUUGAAUUUUAGUGGUCAAAUUGGGAAAAAUUGUCAAGCUCUGAGACAAAUGUGGAUAAAAAAGUUGAAGGACCAAAUUGAAAAAAAUAUAAAAUUCAAGGACUAGAGGUUGCUUUAUCCCUUUCUUCUUUUGUCUUCGUUACCCGUUUCCGUUUUCUUUUUUAACUUUAAAGUGCUCUUUCUUUUAUCUACAGUGCUCACUAGGUUUGUUCUUUUUAUAUAUAUGUAAUAGAUUUAUUGUUAAUUAUUGAAAAAAUUCUAUAAAAAAAUAUUGAUAAAUUUUAAUCAGAUUAAAAGCAUAAUUGCACUUAUUCAAAAAUAAGUAAAAUUUUUAAUUAUUUCGCCCUAAUUAAAGGUAUUUAAAUAAUAUUUUUAUUAAAAUUAAUUAUAAAAAAUAUCAAUAUUAAUAUAAAAAUAUUUUAAUUUUGAAAUAGUAAAAUGAAUUAUUUUAGAUAGUCUUGAUUUGAAUCAAAUGAGCUUUUAAAUGCUCAAUUUGAUUUAUGAAUAUCUCUCAGAAAAAUCAAAUUUAUUUGAACAAGUAUAGUUAUGAGCUUAUGUUUUUUAAUUUUUUAAAAUUAUAAAUAAUUAACAAAAAAACAUCUUUUAUUUUUAUUUUUUAUCACAUUAAGAGUACAAUGUCAAAAAUCUUUUCAUUUAGAGUGUGAUUUCAAAUUUUGCUUGUGAUAAUUGCUUUUUAUUUAAUAAUUUUACAGGGUUUGACAUUGAAUCGAUUAGCUGCUUUUGCCGAGAUACAUGACAUGUCAAAAUAUUUAUGUUGCAAAUAUGAGCUUCCUUUGGCUUUGACAUGGGUUUUGAAGGUUAACAAUACGAAUGAAAUUAUGUGGGAUCUAAAUAAGAAAUACACUUUUUUAAUCCAAAGUAGUUCUUGUUAUGUGAAAGACUGGAAGUCUUAUCGAUUUAUGGAUAAAUGUGAAUUUUUUAUGUCUAAGAAACCUAUUGUUGAGAAAGCACUUGAAUCAAGGAUCGGCUUCCAUUUUAAACCAUCUAUUGCUCAACUUGACAAACGAUACUACCCAUAUCUUAAAUAUGUAGAGAAUUAUAAUAUAGAUGUUGUUGUUGCCAUCUGUCUACAAAAUCGUUACACAAGCAAUGAUAUUUAUGGAGUCGAAUUUUAUUGGCCUGCAACUGAGAUUGAAAAAUCAAAAUCUUUGGUUUUUCAUAUCUUCAAUGACUUGAAACAUAUGAAAACAAAGUUUGUAACAGUAAAGAUUGAAGGAACUAAAAUUGGGUUCCAAGAAGAAGCCAUUUCAAGCAUUCCCACAUCAUCAAACACAAUAAGGUCUUUAAAAACAGCUGAAGAAGCAAAGGAAGUUUAUGCAGUAGAAGUAAAUGAGCUUAAUCUUCGGGAAAUUACAUUAUCUUAUAUAUUAUUAUAUCAUUUCAACACUGAACUAAUCCAUAAAAUAGCAUUCAUGGUUCUAAUGAUGAUAAUAACAUUUGCUUUUAAUGAUGAAUUAAUCAAGACAAAGGCUGAGGAGGUAUCAUCUUCACAUACCAACAUCUUACCAACUGCUGGACAAGAGACCGAACUUAUUUCUUUUGAAGAAGAAGAAGCAGAAGAAGAAACGAAACCAUCUCAGCGACCUGAAAUUUCUAAGACCGUGCUUAAUGAAAUUGAAGAAAUUUCCACCAGUCACGAAACAGAAUCUGAGACUAGUUUACCAGCAGCAAGUCAAAUUCCUGAAUCACUAAAAACUGUCAACCAAUCAGUUGAACCUCCUAUUGAAGUGGGAGCAUUCAUCUCUCCCCAAAGAGAGAUAUCCUCGUUAGAUACACUUUCAGUAGCAUCUUCGGAAGAGGAAAUUCUACUUACUGAUGAAGUGGAGACUAAGGGUCCUAGUCAAACUAAUGCCAAGGCAAAUGUUGAGCGCACUGUGUUGCAGAUUUUGGAACUUUUGAGCAAUGAUACAGUCAGAAGAAUUGGUGUUUGUGGCACUGGAAAGGUUGGGAAGACGACUGUGCUGAAAGCCUUUAUUGAUCAUCCCCAGAUAAAUGGCAUGUUUGAUUUGAUCAUUUGGGUGACAGUAUCAAAAUACUGGAGUAUAAGGAAGAUGCAGGAUGAAGUUUUAAGGCAAUUAUCAACAGAUUUCAAGGCUGAAUCUGAAAAUAGAGAAGAAUUGCUCCGAUAUUUGGCAGGCAGGAAGUUUUUGCUUGUUUUGGAUGAUGUCUGGGAGAGUAUAGAUUUAGAAGCAGUUGGUAUUCCUGAUCCUAGCUCGGAAAAUGGCAGUGCGAUAAUACUGGCAACUAGGAAUUUGGAGGUUUGUGAUAACAUGCGUUUCAUAAAUAUGAUCGAAGUUGGAACUCUUUCUAAUGAAGAAGCAUGGAAGCUGUUCUGUGAACAAGUAGGUAGAGUUGUCAACAUACCAGGUAUCCUGCCCUUUGCUCGAGUUAUCGCUGAGAGGUGUGGAGGUCUGCCUCUGCUGGUUAUUGUCACUGGAAGAGCUCUGUCUGGGGAAGAAGAUGUCUUUGCAUGGGAACAAGCAUUCAAGCAAUUUUCAGGGCCUUGUGGAGAUCUAAGAAGCCGAAAAGACAUAAUCCAAUUGUUAAAAUUCAGUUUUGACCGAUUGCAGGUUCAUGACAUACAGAGUUGCUUCCUUCAUUGUGCUUUAUUUCCUGAAGAUCAAGAGGUUAAUAUUUCUGAAUUUGUUACAUAUUGUAUCGAAGAAGGUUUGAUUGCUGGGAAUACGGCUGAUGCAUAUAAGAGGAGCCAUGAGAUAAUUACUGUUCUCGUACGUGCCUUUUUGUUAGAAACUGCUUCCAAUUCUUCCAUCAUAAUGCAUGAUAUGAUAAGAGACUUGGCAUUGGCCAUCUUGUUGCAGGAGAAAGGCAGUCAAUUUCUGUUAAGAGCUUACUCAAAACCGGUGAGCCGAGAAAACCAUUCAUCACUCGUACUACGUGAAAGCCCCGAGAACAAUAGAUUGUUUAUUCCUGAUGGUUGUCAAUUCAUAUUGAGAGGCGGUUCAAGACUGACCCAACCACCUUCAGUAGAGGAAUGGGGAAAGUCUAGUAUGAUCUUUUUGAUGGACAAUAAUUUGUCCGCUUUACCUGAGAGCCCAAGUUGCCCUGGACUUCUGACACUGUUUCUUCAAAGAAAUUUCAGGCUCAGAGUGAUAGCCGUGUCCUUUUUUGACUGCAUGCCUUGUUUGAAAGUGCUAAACUUGUCAAAUACCCGAAUAAAGUCUCUGCCAAGAACAAUUUCAAAACUUGUAAGCCUGGAAACUCUCAUCCUUCGUCAUUGUGAACGCCUUUCUAUGCUUCCCUCUGAUAUUGGAUCCCUCAAACUUCUUCAAGUACUUGAUCUUAGAGGCACUGAGAUCAACUUAUUACCUGAUGAGAUCGGUGAACUAUCGUCUUUGACAUACUUUGAUAUAUGCUUCUAUGGAUCUAUCAACCGAAGGGAGCAUCUUAAAUUGCCACAAGGCUUGAUUUCUAGUGGGAUAAUAUCGAGGCUCUGUGCAUUGCAAUCACUAGGGAUUAGAGUGUGCCCGGGAGAUGAGCGGUGGGACAAAUGUGUCAAAUCCAUCAUUUACGAGGUAAGUAAAUUGACGGGGCUAACUUCUCUGUCUUUUUAUUUCCCGGAAGUAGAGCUUCUUGAACUGUUCCUUCAAAAAAGUGCAGCCUGGAUUGAUCAAUGCUUAACUGAGUAUAAUUUCGUGGUUGGCCAUGACAUCAAGCGUAUUGUCUCUCGAGUUCCACAAUAUGUGGAGCUUGAUUAUGAUCGAACAAGCCAACGCUUGAGAUUUGUUAACGGUGAGAAGAUACCUGCUGCAAUCGUCAAAGUACUAGAAUAUUGCUCAGCUUUUUAUUUAGAUCAUCACCUGGACGUAAUCAGCAUAUCGAAGUUCGGGAUUGCCAACAUGAAUAAGUUGAAACACUGCAUAGUAAGUGAGUGUCCCACAGUUAAAGCUGUUUUGGACGAUAGGGAAUUUACCGAGGUUGUAUUUCCAUGCCUAGAGCACUUGAAUCUUCACUAUUUGUGGAAUUUGGAAUACAUCUGCGACAACCUUCUUCCUGAAGGAAGCUUCGCCAUGCUACGGAUCUUGUAUGUGCACGCAUGUCCAAAGUUGAAAUAUGUCUUGAAAAGCUCCAUGCUUCGUUUCUUCUCGAAGCUAGAGGAGUUGAUAGUCGAUGAUUGUACAGCAAUCGAGAAGAUCAUACUUGACGAUGAUAUGACCACUGAUUUGAGUCACAUGUCGGAUUCCAGUUUCAAAAGAUUAACUCUUCACUACCUUCCUGCAUUAGAAACCAUUCGAGAAGGUGUUUGGCCCUCAUUCGAAUAUAUCAGUGUAUACAACUGCCCUAAUUUCAAGAAAAUCAAUUUAGAUUCCAAGUCGAAACACACACUGAAGGGGAUUAAAGGUGAGAAGGUGUUGAAAGCUGGACUGCAAUGCAACAUGGAGCCAAAAGCUUGCUACUGUCGAGACCAGCAACUAUCGAGCUCAGCUCGUUUUGCUUGGUGCGCACGAAUGGUUUUUGAACUGAAUGAAGCAACCAACUUUGCUGUUUUGUUUUGAUGUAAUUUGAUUCAGUUCAACUUUAGUUUGUUUGUAAUGCUAGUUAAACUUAAGUUAGUGACAUGAUCUUUUGAUGUAAUGGCUGAUUGGUCAGCUAUGUUUGAUUAUUUUUUGGCUAGUGAUUAGGUUUGUAUUAGUUGGGGCAGUUAAAUACAUUAGGUAACUGUCAAUGUACAAUUGUAACUCUUUUAUAUAUUUCAAGUUGAAUGAAAAAUGAUGUAUGUUCAGUCACAAACAUUGCUGAGUAUUUUGAUUUUUGAUGCUUUGCUUGCCUUGAUUCUUCUUGCUUCAGUCUUGCAAACACUGAGUUGCAAAUUUGCUUUGAUGUUUGCUGCUGUCAUUGUUCCAACAAAUGGUAUCAUGAGCCCGAGUCUUUGAGGGGCCUUUGUAUGCAAUCUGUUGUGUUCGAAACAAAACCAACAGCAAAUUCAAAAUUUGGUAAGAUUGAAGCAUUUAAAAUCAGUUUAGCAGAAUGAGUUUCACUCCACCACCUCCACCAGUGUUCACUGGAGAAAACUAUCACAUUUGGAUAGUUAAAAUGAAGACUUAUCUCCAGGCACAUGAUCUUUGGAGUGUGAUCGAGAAUGAUGCUGAACCACCUCCAUUGAGAGCCAAUCCCACCAUUGCACAGAUGAGGCAACAUACUGAGGAGCGAGCCAAGAAGCAUAAGGCUAUGGCCUGCUUGCAAAAUGGAGUCUCUGAUGUGAUAUUUACUCGCAUCAUGGCCUGUGACUCACCUAAGCAGGCUUGGGAGAAGCUGAAGGAGGAGUUCAUGGGGACUGAUAAGACAAGGCAACAGCAAGUAAUCAACCUCAGGAGAGACUUUGAAAACUUGAGGAUGAAGGAGUCUGAGACCAUCAAGCAGUACUCAGACAGGAUAAUGGCCAUUGUCAACAGCAUUAGGCUCCUGGGAGUGGACUUCACAGAGAGCAGAGUUGUUGAAAAGGUUAUUACAACUCUUCCUGAGAAAUUUGAGUUUAAAAUCUCUUCACUUGAGGACUCGAGGGACUUAUCAGCCAUUUCAUUGUCUGAGCUGAUAAAUUCCCUAUAUGCACUUGAGCAAAGGAGGGCAAAUAGGCAGGAGGAGAAUCCUGAAGCUGCUUUCCAGGCUAAAGCCAGUGAAGGCUCGAGUGUGAGUGUAAAAGGCAAGAAGCCUUGGCACAAUAGAAGGGUCAAGUCAGGAAGAGAUGAAGCAAAAAGGGUGUUCCCACCAUGUGUUCAUUGCAAGAAGACAACACAUUCAGAAAAGUAUUGCUGGUUUAGGCCAGAUAUUCAGUGUAGAAAAUGCAAACAGUUUGGCCAUGUGGAGAAGGUGUGCAAGGGCAAACCAAGGGAGGCUACUCUGCAACAAGCUAGACCUGCUGAGGACAUUCAAGCUCAGGAGGAGCAAGUGUUCACAGCAACUUGUUUUGUUGGCACAACCAAGGCCAGCAAUGAUUGGCUACUAGACAGUGGCUGCUCACACCAUAUGGCAGCAGAUGAGAAGCUGUUCAAAAGCCUAGACAGAAGCUUCCACUCGAGGAUUAGAAUUGGAGAUGGUAGGCUGAUUGAAGCUAAAGGCAAGGGCAGUGUGUUGAUUAGCACUGGUUCAGGUAACAAGCUGAUCUCAGAUGUGUUUUUUGUACCUGACUUAGACCAGAAUUUGCUUAGUGUGGGCCAAUUAGUUGAAAAGAGCUAUACAUUGGUUUUUAAGGAUGGUUGCUGUAUUGUUCAAGACAUGAAUGGUCUGGAGUUAGUCACAGUCUCUAUGACUGAUAGGUGCUUCAUGCUGGAUGUUAGCCAAAUAGAAAGAAAGGCAUACACCAGCCUUGUUGAAAGCACUGACUUGUGGCAUAGGAGACUAGGCCAUGCAAAUUUUAGAUCUAUUGAUCUAUUACAUAGGCUGAAUCUGGUUGAUGACAUUUCAAAAAUUGAAGCUAGUGGGAAUGUUUGUGAGGUUUGUCAGCUUGGUAAGCAGGCUAGACUGCCUUUUCCUGCUGAUAGUGCUUGGAGAGCUCAAGACAAGCUCGAAUUGGUGCACUCUGAUGUUUGUGGCCCUAUGAGAACACCUUCAAUCAGUGAGAACAGGUACUUUGCCUUGUUUAUAGAUGAUUUAACAAGGUUAUGCUGGGUCUACUUCUUGAAGCAAAAGUCAGAAGUGUUUGAAGCCUUCUGUAAAUUCAAGGCUUAUGCUGAAAAUCAGUCAGGCUGCAAAAUUAGAGCCUUGAGGACUGAUAAUGGAUCUGAAUAUGUGUCUGAGAGAUUUCAGAAGCUUUGUGACAGUGCUGGGAUUCACCAUCAGCUCACAACAGUCUAUUCUCCUCAACAGAAUGGAGUCUGUGAGAGAAAGAAUAGGACUGUACUGAACAUGGCCAGGUGCCUCUUGUUUCAAGGCAAGCUUCCAAGUCAGUUUUGGGCUGAGGCAGUCAACACCUCAGUGUAUCUGCUCAACAGACUGCCAACUAGAGCGGUCAAGGAUAAGACUCCUUUUGAGGCUUGGCACGGAGUCAAACCUGUGGUAACACACUUAAAAGUGUUUGGCUGUGUAUGUUAUGCACUUAUUCCAGUGGAGAAAAGGACCAAGCUUGAGAGCAGAGCAACUCCAGGAAUUUUUGUUGGCUACAGCAGCAACAAGAAGGGCUAUAGAGUGUAUGAUCCUACAGCAAAGAAGGUUUUAGUCAGCAGGGAUGUUAAGUUUGAUGAGGAAAAGGUGUGUAAUUGGAAUGGUGUUGUGGCUAACUUGUCUGAAUUGGACCAGUUAGACUUGGUUGCUGAACCUGCAGAAGAAGGACCAAGUAAUGAUGCUGUCGAUGAUAUACCAGUGAGGGGCACCAGAACUUUGGUUGAUGUUUAUCAGAGGUGCAAUGUUGCUGUGAUUGAGCCCUCAGACUUUGAAGAGGCUGCUAAAAACAGAAGCUGGAUGAAAGCUAUGGAAGCUGAGUUGGAAAUGAUCAACAAAAAUCAGACUUGGGAGUUGGUGAGCAGACCAGAACACAAGAGGGUCAUAGGAGUUAAAUGGGUGUAUCGGGCCAAGUACAAUGCUGAUGGCUCACUAAACAAGCACAAGGCCAGGCUUGUGGUGAAGGGCUACAGUCAGCAGUAUGGUGUUGACUACCUAGAAACUUUUGCUCCAGUGGCAAGACUGGAUACAAUUAAGCUGCUGUUUGCUUUAGCAGCUCAGAAACAGUGGAGAGUUCACCAAUUGGAUGUCAAAUCAGCAUUCCUGAAUGGUUUUCUCAAGGAGGAGAUCUUUAUCGAGCAACCUGAAGGUUUUGAAGUUGUUGGACAUGAAGAAAAAGUAUAUAAGUUGAGAAAGGCCCUCUAUGGCCUGAAACAGGCACCAAGGGCCUGGUAUGACAGAGUUGAUGACUACCUGACCAAACUUGGAUUUGUAAAGAGCCUUAGUGAGCCUACUCUAUAUGUUAAAAAGUCAGAACAUGAAACCUUGCUGAUAGUCUCCUUGUAUGUGGAUGAUUUGCUUGUGACAGGGAGCAAAAUCGAGCUCAUUGAUCAGUUCAAGGUCCAAAUGCAGCAAGUGUUUGAGAUGACAGAUUUAGGGAUCAUGACUUACUUCCUUGGCAUGGAAGUGCACCAAUCUGAUCGAGGUAUCUUCAUCAGCCAACACUCAUUUGCUUUGAAGAUUCUAGACAAAUUUUGCAUGCAUAACUGUAAAGCAGUCAGCACACCUGUGGCUCAAGGAGAAAAGCUGACUAGCAGUAGUGAUCAGCAGAGGGUUGAUGAGAGGCACUAUCGAAGCCUGGUUGGUUGUCUGUUGUAUCUAACAGCAACCAGGCCAGAUAUCAUGUUUGGUGUCAGCCUGUUAUCAAGAUUUAUGCAUUGUUGCAAUGAGGCACAUUUGAAGGCAGCAAAGAGGAUCCUUAGAUACAUCAAGGGCACUGCCAGUUUUGGUGUAAUGUUUGAAAGUCAGAACCAACUAAAAUUAGAAGGCUACUCUGACAGCGACUGGGCAGGAUCUCUCGAUGACAUGAAGAGUACCUCUGGAUACUUCUUCACACUUGGAUCGGGCAUGUUUUGCUGGAGUUCUAAGAAGCAACAAACUGUUGCUCAGUCCACAGCUGAAGCAGAGUACAUUGCUGCAGCAGGAGCAGUUAAUCAGGCCAUCUGGCUAAGAAAGCUGCUUUAUGAUCUUAAUGAAACUCAAGAUGAAGCAACUGAAAUCUGGGUGGACAAUCAGUCUGCAGUUGCAAUAGCCAAGAACCUUGUGUUUCAUGGCAAGACUAAGCAUUUUAAGAUCAAAUUGCAUUUUGUUAGAGAGGCUGAACAAGCAAAGGAAGUCAGCCUUGUGCAUUGCAGCUCAGGAGCACAAUUGGCUGACAUAAUGACCAAGCCCUUAGGGGCUGCUCGAUUUGAAUCUUUGAGAAGUGCAAUUGGAAUGUGUUGCAUACAGUCCAAGGAGGAGUGUUGAAAGCUGGACUGCAAUGCAACAUGGAGCCAAAAGCUUGCUACUGUCGAGACCAGCAGCUAUCGAGCUCAGCUCGUUUUGCUUGGUGCGCACGAAUGGUUUUUGAACUGAAUGAAGCAACCAACUUUGCUGUUUUGUUUUGAUGUAAUUUGAUUCAGUUCAACUUUAGUUUGUUUGUAAUGCUAGUUAAACUUAAGUUAGUGACAUGAUCUUUUGAUGUAAUGGCUGAUUGGUCAGCUAUGUUUGAUUAUUUUUUGGCUAGUGAUUAGGUUUGUAUUAGUUGGGGCAGUUAAAUACAUUAGGUAACUGUCAAUGUACAAUUGUAACUCUUUUAUAUAUUUCAAGUUGAAUGAAAAAUGAUGUAUGUUCAGUCACAAACAUUGCUGAGUAUUUUGAUUUUUGAUGCUUUGCUUGCCUUGAUUCUUCUUGCUUCAGUCUUGCAAACACUGAGUUGCAAAUUUGCUUUGAUGUUUGCUGCUGUCAUUGUUCCAACAGAAGGAUUGGUGGGAUUCAUUAGAGUGGAAAGAACCUUCUCUAAGCAUACAUUUCAACGACUUGUUUACUCUAGUUUCUGAGGAUGAUAUAUGAGGAGAUAGUAUCAAUUGACGCUAUUUUCAUCGCUUGAGUCAAUGACGUGUAAGAAUCAAGAAUUUUUACCAGCAGAAAAUAAAUCAAGGCUGAAGAGGUAUUGUCUCCUUUUCCUUUUUCUUUUCCAGGAUUAUGAAGUAUUUAUAUUUAUUUGAAAUUCAAGCAUGCUUAUAUAGUAGCUGAAUAUCACUUAGCAGUGAGUAC
rnacentral:lncRNA from 1 species